CGAAAACGAAUUCUCUCUUGAGUGGAUCCUGAGUACGACGGAGCACGUGAAAUUCCGUCGGAAUCUGGGAGGACCAUCUCCUAAGGCUAAAUACUCUCUAGUGACCGAUAGUGAACCAGUACCGUGAGGGAAAGGUGAAAAGUACCCCGGAAGGGGAGUGAAAGAGAACUUGAAACCGUGUGCUUACAAGUAGUCAGAGCCCGUUAAUGGGUGAUGGCGUGCCUUUUGUAGAAUGAACCGGCGAGUUACGAUCUGAUGCAAGGUUAAGCAGAAAAUGUGGAGCCGUAGCGAAAGCGAGUCUGAAUAGGGCGAAUGAGUAUUUGGUCGUAGACCCGAAACCAGGUGAUCUACCCUUGGUCAGGUUGAAGUUCAGGUAACACUGAAUGGAGGACCGAACCGACUUACGUUGAAAAGUGAGCGGAUGAACUGAGGGUAGCGGAGAAAUUCCAAUCGAACUUGGAGAUAGCUGGUUCUCUCCGAAAUAGCUUUAGGGCUAGCCUCAAGUGAUGAUUAUUGGAGGUAGAGCACUGUUUGGACGAGGGGCCCCUCUCGGGUUACCGAAUUCAGACAAACUCCGAAUGCCAAAUA
rnacentral:rRNA from 1 species